rnacentral:rRNA from 1 species
UACGAAGGUCCCGAGCGUUGUUCGGAAUUAUUGGGCGUAAAGCGUCCGUAGGCGGUUUCAAAAGUCUGUUGUUAAAGCCCACAGCUCAACUGUGGAUCGGCAAUGGAAACUGUGAGACUAGAGAGUGGUAGGGGUAGAGGGAAUUCCUAGUGUAGCGGUGAAAUGCGUAGAUAUUAGGAAGAACACCAGUGGCGAAGGCGGUCUACUGGGCCAUUACUGACGCUGAUGGACGAAAGCUAGGGGAGCGAAAGGG